rnacentral:rRNA from 2 species
UCUGGCGGCUGUAGCGCGGUGGUCCCACCUGACCCCAUGCCGAACUCAGAAGUGAAACGCCGUAGCGCCGAUGGUAGUGUGGGGUCUCCCCAUGCGAGAG